rnacentral:rRNA from 1 species
UGGGGAAUUUUGGACAAUGGGGGAAACCCUGAUCCAGCCAUCCCGCGUGUGCGAUGAAGGCCUUCGGGUUGUAAAGCACUUUUGGCAGGAAAGAAACGUCAUGGGUUAAUACCCCGUGAAACUGACGGUACCUGCAGAAUAAGCACCGGCUAACUACGUGCCAGCAGCCGCGGUAAUACGUAGGGUGCAAGCGUUAAUCGGAAUUACUGGGCGUAAAGCGUGCGCAGGCGGUUCGGAAAGAAAGAUGUGAAAUCCCAGAGCUCAACUUUGGAACUGCAUUGUUAACUACCGGGCAAGAGUGUGUCAGAGGGAGGUGGAAUUCCGGGUGUAGCAGUGAAAUGCGUAGAUAUGCGGAGGAACACCGAUGGCGAAGGCAGCCUCCUGGGAUAACACUGACGCUCAUGCACGAAAGCGUGGGGAGCAAACAGG